rnacentral:rRNA from 1 species
GACGAACGCUGGCGGCGUGCCUAAUACAUGCAAGUCGAACGCAGUGGGGACGGGUGAGUAACACGUGGGUAACCUCCCAUCAGAGGGGAUAACACUUCGAAACAGGCGCUAAACCUAUACUGAUGGAUGGACCCGCGGUGCAUUAGCUAGUUGGGGAGGUAACGGCUCACCAAGGCCACGAUGCAUAGCUGGCCUGAGAGGAUGAUCGGCCACACUGGGACUGAGACACGGCCCAGACUCCUACGGGAGGCAGCAGUGGGGAAUCUUGGACAAUGGGCGAAAGUCUGACGGAGCAACGCCGCGUGAAUGAAGAAGGUUUUAGGGUCGUAAAGCACUGUUAUUAGGGAAGCGGUAUCUAACCAGGAAGCAACGGCUAACUCCGUGCCAGCAGCCGCGGUAAUAC